rnacentral:lncRNA from 1 species
UGACCUUACUGAAAACAAGACGUAGGUGACACCAGGGUUUAGGAAAACUCUGUAGAGACCACCUUGGAAAAAAACCAAUGUGGAGUGGAGGCCUGGGACUUUGUUCAAUUGAGUAAAAUCAAACAACAGACAAAGAUUGUUAUUCAACUUCAAGGUAGAACUACAUGAAGCAAUACUGUAUGAUAACCAAGGAUGCUAGAUGAAAGAACAACCCUUUGGUGGCUGGAGAUGUGGCUCAUAGAAUAAGAGCACUUGCUGAUUUGCCAGCAGACACAUAUUUGACCCCCAGAACCCAUGUCAGAUGGAUGAAAACCACAUAUAACUACAGCUACAGUGGAAUUGACAUUCUUUUUUAGUUUCCUCAGGUGAACAGGCAUGUGCUCACAUGCACACAUGCACACAUACACCUAUAUAAAUUAAUCAAAAAAUCCACAAUGAACACUUCUUUUGUAUGGGUUAGUUUUUGUAAGUGAUAUUCCAUGUUUUAAUGUGUCACUGAACAAUAGUCAAAUUUUUUGUUUUGCACAAAUAACUCAGAAUUCCUAUUUAUUCAACUUUAGAGAAAGGGGUGUUAAAAUGACUAGGAAGCUAGUUCCUAUGAGUCCGAAGAGAGCAGAUUAUGUCCAGUCUUGGAGAAUAUUAAGAACCCUGGUGUUAAGAUUUUUAAGAUUGUGAGGAAAUAUUAAAGUUGCUGUAUCCACAGAACUUCCUGUUUGCAUACUCUCCUUAUUUUGUAGACAGGUUGUCAUGCUGCCUCUUGACAGGAAUGGGGCAAUGAAAGUUUAUUGUUAGGUGUUUGUGAAGUCAUGCUAGAUUCCUCAGCUUCCUUGUAUGUAUUCAUGAGAAAUGCACUGUUCUUUUCCCAUGGAUUAGUGACUUCUCAGUGGAAAGACCUGAAGUGUGAAUCAUGUAUGUCCUCUUAUUAGAAGAAGGGUCUGUAAAUAUGAAGGCCUUCACAUAUCCUGUCUGGAGGUUAGUCCUUAUUACCUUAAGGGGGAUUGUCGAUAAGGGGAUCUAGAACAAGUUGGCUUGCAGACAUGUCUGUAGCAAAUUGUCUUCAUUGAAGAUCCAGUCUAAAAGUAUGCUGCAACAUUUCUUAGACUUGAAUCUUGGACUCUAUGGAUUUUUUUUCUCUUCAACUGAGCUAGCAUGUUUAGCCAACAAAACUUUAGAAAGAGAAUAUAAAAAGCAAACUGGUGAUUUCACAACUAAGUUUUGGUUCAGCUUCUGAUGCCUAGAUUUUUGUGUACAUUUUAGGAAGAAAUACAGCUCAGUAUAUCUUGGAGUUUUGCACCUAGCCACUCCUUUGUGCAAAUAGCUGACAUCAUUCUUGUGCUCCCCUAUUGAGCUGUGUAUUCUUGCAGAAGAGAAGUGUGUCAUGAUGAAACACCUAUUGUGAAUGAAGGGUCUUGAGUUAUAACCCCUAUUUUGUCUCUUACAUCUUCUUGCAUGCUAAGAUUGCAGCUAUGUAUUACUACAAUGUCCAAUUUAUCUGGUGCAAGACAUCAAAUUUCAUCUAUGCUAGUCAACCACUUUACCAACUAAACCAUACCCCCAAGCACUCUAAGAGAUCUUUUAAAAGUGCCUCAUAUGCAUCCCUGUUCUGUGAACCAGCCAUCUCCUUGUUCAUUCUCCAGUGGACACCCGAUUGUAAUUAUUUGGGGGAUGUUUUUUGCUACCUAUCCUUCAGGCAUAAGGUAUGGAAUGAUAGGGCAGUGAUAGGGGCAGGUGAAUCCUGGGCACUGGCUGGCCAGGUAGUCUAACUGAAAUACCAAGCUAAAGACUGAGGAAGAGACUUUGUCUAACAAUAAGCAAGACAGAUAUAUGAUUGAAGAAGAUAUCCAAAGUUGGCAUUGGCCUUCCACACAAGUCUACACAAUGAGCACACUGACCUAAGUAUAGAAGUUUGUCUAUACAAACAUAAAACUUAAAAUUUUAAAAUGAAAAGGCACAUGAAGAUGUUGCUGAUCAUCUCCUAGAUACAUCCCUUCCAACUUCAGCUCUCAUUACCCCAGAGGAGAAUUAGAGCUGCCUAUGGUCUCAGUCCCUCCGUGAGCUCCUCCAACACUGGCUUGUUGUUGUUGUUGUUGUGGUGGUGGUGGUGGGGGUGGUGGUGGUUUUAAAUAAGCUCCCUAUGUGGGCUAUUAAAUAAAGUAGGGACAAAUGAGUGAAAUUAUACAUCUGGUUUUCACUCCAGGACAAGUUGUUAUGUUUGUCUGAAUCUAAUUUCCCUUUGUGCAGAUCACUGAACUGAACCUCAGAUUCUGUCAGUGCCAGGAUGAGAGUAUUAAUGGUGGAUUUUCAUUAAUAAAAUUGCUGGGUAACUCUGGAAAGAAAAUGUGACCAGUGUGGACCACUGUCUGCCUUGGUUUAGAUCCCAAAGUCUUUGGACUGAACUGAGGAAAGCAUGAUAAAGGACAGUGCUCCUUUCUAAAGGAUCUUUCCAUUCUGGAUACCUUGGGUAUGACCAACAGUUUCCAUUCAUUGAAUCAAAGGAAGUGAGUAGUUUGAUGGAGAAUGUGACCUACUGUCUUAGGUAGGUGGUAAAGAAAUUGAAAUCUGGAAACAACUCAAAGGACUCACACACACACACACACACACACACACACACACACACACAUACGCACACACAUAUGUGCAUGAUGAGUUUCUCAGAUUGACUUUGAGCUACCCAUGG